UCAUGAUGAAAAAUUUGACGGUCGAGGUGCUUCGAUUUUUUAUUGUGUGUAUGCAUCUUCACAGUGGCAAGCCUAUGGCAAGCGUCUCUUUGGAAGCGAUUCAGUUUUGCCGAUAUAAUCGUCCGUGGGUGUCUCUCUGCCUUAAUUUAAUUUGCUGCCUUAAUUGCGUCUCAGCAGACUGGACAGGCACCUUUGAAAAAGUGCAUAAGUAUGGUGAUACCGAUACAAACCAAUUGAUGAACGAGCAAUGACAGCGAAAACGUUUCCAAUGCACUGCUUAAAUUAUCAUCUUGACUUGAUAACUAUCGCGCAGUCUACUAUAAAAAAAAGUGUCGUAUAAGUGUGAUGUAAAAAUAUUAAUAAUAAUCGUAUACAUUGAUGAGUUCAGUACAUCGAAAAAAUGUCUGGAGUUGUCAAUCACUAAUAAGACGAAAGGCAUUUUACUACGCACGCAAAUAGUAUAAUUGAUCAUCUGUAAAAAAGUUUAUUUGAACUGACGUCAUUGGAGCUACCUUAGCGGCAGAUGAUUGUUCGUGCAGGGUACAUGUUAAUGUUAUUUGGUGAGAGAGCCUUGCUGGUAGCCCUACUUUAGGACUAGUGGAAAAAGAACCUUAUUCGAUCGCGUUUUGAUAAUCGGGUAAUUCAAAGAGCGUAUGUUCCCGGGGACACUGUCAUCACUUCCGACAGCAAAAGUGUCUCUUCGACUUCUGCUACUGCCGGUGAUGCUACUAGGGAGAAGGCCGACGACAACGAGAAGAAGGGUGUGGAUGAAAGAGGUUUCGGACAUCGUCUGGGCUUCGGCUGUCCCGGCUAUGGCGGCAGCUUUGGGUCUCAACAAGGAUUCAAGCAAGCCUUUGAAGCGUCAGGUUAGUUUCAAAACCAGGGAGCGUUCGGUUACAACCAGGGUUCGUCGCAAAGUAACGUUUACGGUCACCGCGAACGCUACGGCGAACCGACGCAAUUCGGUUUAGCUCAAAGCUCGGAUCAGUCCUCAUCAACCGGUCAGAAUGCUUAUGCCAGUCACUUUGACAAGGGACAAUUCGCGCAGGAAAGUAACCAGGGUAGCGGAUACGGCUUUGUUGGCUAAGUUAAAAUCUGUGAUUGAAUAUGACAAUACAUAUAUAUUGAAU